UACCAGACUCCUACGGGAGGCAGCAGUGAGGAAUAUUGGUCAAUGGGCGAGAGCCUGAACCAGCCAAGUCGCGUGAGGGAAGACGGUCCUACGGAUUGUAAGCCUCUUUUGUCAGGGAGCAAGGAGCGCCACGAGUGGUGCGGCGAGAGUACCUGAAGAAAAAGCAUCGGCUAACUCCGUGCCAGCAGCCGCGGUAAUACGGAGGAUCCGAGCGUUAUCCGGAUUUAUUGGGUUUAAAGGGAGCGUAGAUGGGUUGUUAAGUCAGUUGUGAAAGUUUGCGGCUCAACCGUAAAAUUGCAAUUGAUACUGGCAGUCUUGAGUACAGUUGAGGUAGGCGGAAUUCGUGGUGUAGCGGUGAAAUGCUUAGAUAUCACAAAGAACCCCGAUUGCGAAGGCAGCUUACUAAACUGUGACUGACAUUGAUGCUCGAAAGUGUGGGUAUCAAACAGGAUUAGAUACCCUUGUAACA
rnacentral:rRNA from 1 species